GAAAUAUAACUUUGAUCCUGCUCUCCGAUCUUUAUGCUCUGGUGUUUCGUUGCCUGAACUCCCUGUCCUUUGCAAACGAAGAGAAGAUGAGCAGAAACUUAAAGCUGUCAGACUUGGUUACCUGCUACCAGCUCCGCCGCAGACCAGGUAGGCGAGUCAGAGACUAAUAGGAGGCUUGUCAUGGGUAUUUUCUGUAUUAGCUCUGUGCCUCCU
rnacentral:lncRNA from 1 species